rnacentral:ncRNA from 1 species
GUAAAUGUAUUGAAAAGGAAAGUAAUUACUUAUUGAUGUUUUUAGAGAGUCUCGGUUGGUGAAAAGAGAUAACGGAAAGAGUAAUGAAAAUGGCCUUUGAACAGAUAGGUUGACUAAUUAAACCUAUACGGGGGUGCCUGUUAACGCACAAUGGUAUGAUAGUACCGGAAAAAAGCAGGCGCUUUUCAACGAAAAGGUGGUAGCAAAGAAAGAAUCUUUGUCCUUUAA